AGUCGAGGGGUAUUGUCUUCGGAUAUAGAGACCGGCGCACGGGUGCGUAACGCGUAUGCAAUCUACCUUUUACAGAGGGAUAGCCCAGAGAAAUUUGGAUUAAUACCUCAUAGUAUAGCUCUACCGCAUGGUAGUACUAUUAAAGUCACAACGGUAAAAGAUGAGCAUGCGUCCCAUUAGCUAGUUGGUAAGGUAACGGCUUACCAAGGCAACGAUGGGUAGGGGUCCUGAGAGGGAGAUCCCCCACACUGGUACUGAGACACGGACCAGACUCCUACGGGAGGCAGCAGUGAGGAAUAUUGGACAAUGGGCGCAAGCCUGAUCCAGCCAUGCCGCGUGCAGGAUGACGGUCCUAUGGAUUGUAAACUGCUUUUGUACGAGAAGAAACACUGCUUCGUGAAGCAGCUUGACGGUAUCGUAAGAAUAAGGAUCGGCUAACUCCGUGCCAGCAGCCGCGGUAAUACGGAGGAUCCAAGCGUUAUCCGGAAUCAUUGGGUUUAAAGGGUCCGUAGGCGGUUUAGUAAGUCAGUGGUGAAAGCCCAUCGCUCAACGGUGGAACGGCCAUUGAUACUGCUGAACUUGAAUUAUUAGGAAGUAACUAGAAAUAUGUAGUGUAGCGGUGAAAUGCUUAGAGAUUACAUGGAAUACCAAUUGCGAAAGGCAGGUUACUACUAAUUGAUUGACGCUGAUGG
rnacentral:rRNA from 1 species